GACGAACGCUGGCGGCGUGCUUAACACAUGCAAGUCGAACGAAAAGAGGGAAAGAGCUUGCUCUUUCCGGAAUUGAGUGGCAAACGGGUGAGUAACACGUAAACAACCUGCCUUCAGGAUGGGGACAACAGACGGAAACGACUGCUAAUACCGAAUAAGUUCCAAGGGCCGCAUGGCCCAUGGAAGAAAAGGUGGCCUCUACCUGUAAGCUAUCGCCUGAAGAGGGGUUUGCGUCUGAUUAGCUGGUUGGAGGGGUAACGGCCCACCAAGGCGACGAUCAGUAGCCGGUCUGAGAGGAUGAACGGCCACACUGGAACUGAGACACGGUCCAGACUCCUACGGGAGGCAGCAGUGGGGAAUCUUCCGCAAUGGGCGAAAGCCUGACGGAGCAACGCCGCGUGAGUGAUGACUGCCUUCGGGUUGUAAAACUCUGUGAUCCGGGACGAAAAGGCAGAGUGCGAAGAACAAACUGCAUUGACGGUACCGGAAAAGCAAGCCACGGCUAACUACGUG
rnacentral:rRNA from 1 species